rnacentral:rRNA from 1 species
GACGAACGCUGGCGGCGUGCCUAACGCAUGCAAGUCGAACGGGGCUAGGAAAGCUUGCUUUCUGAUGCCUAGUGGCGGACGGGUGAGUAACGCGUGAGUAACCUGCCUUUCAGAGGGGAAUAACGUUCUGAAAAGAACGCUAAUACCGCAUAACGUACAGCUUCCGCAUGGAGAGGAUACCAAAGGCCGGGCAACCGGUCACUGAAGGAUGGGCCUGCGUCUGAUUAGCUAGUUGGUGGGGUAACGGCCCACCAAGGCGACGAUCAGUAGCCGGUCUGAGAGGAUGAACGGCCACAUUGGGACUGAGACACGGCCCAA